UGCUCGAUACAUUAGCAUGGAAUAAUGAAAUAGGACGUGCGGUUCUAUUUUGUUGGUUUCUAGGACCGCCGUAAUGAUUAAUAGGGACAGUCGGGGGCAUCAGUAUUCAAUUGUCAGAGGUGAAAUUCUUGGAUUUAUUGAAGACUAACUACUGCGAAAGCAUUUGCCAAGGAUGUUUUCAUUAAUCAGGAACGAAAGUUAGGGGAUCGAAGACGAUCAGAUACCGUCGUAGUCUUAACCAUAAACUAUGCCGACUAGGGAUCGGACGAUGUUAUUUUUUGACUCGUUCGGCACCUUACAAGAAAUCAAAGUGCUUGGGCUCCUGGGGGAGU
rnacentral:rRNA from 1 species